UAAUAAACAUUAAUCAAAGUUGUUUAACCAUCCAACAUAAGUGUUACUUUUGGGUAAAUUAAACAAAACACUUAGUUAAAAAUCAGUAGCCAUAUUUUCCUAAGUUAAAUAACCCUAGGUAUAACACUCAAUAGGAGAAAAAUGGGGUAUAUGAUACUUCAUUUUACCUUUUCACGUUUUUUCCUAAAAGUUCACACCGUGAGAUCUAUACUCGGCUUCAAGAUACCUUUGCUUGUGUCCUCCUACGGAUGAUGUUUGUAUAGGUUAAUAAUAAGGUGAAUAGAGAGAUUGUUUAUAAUAAGUGAGAGUGGGACAUGUGUCAAUACAGCACACGAUCUCUCUCAAUAGUUUGUAGUAAAGUUUCAUGCUUGGCCUCGAGGCACCUUUGCUUGUAUCCCCCUACGGAUUCCAUUUGCAUGAUUCUUUACCUCAAACUACAGAAAUGGAUAUGAUUACUUUAGCUUUUGUCCCAAUCGGGUUUUCCCUACGAUUGGCUCAUUGGGAUAGAACUCAAGAAUCUAAAGUGAAGGGUUACACUUACAAGAAAUGUUAAGUGAGUUUAAUAAUUUCUGGAUCGAACAAUGGUGAUUGAUAGUUACAGUAACAAGAAGUUGUUCAGUUUAUUGGUUGAGAUAAUCUCAUUUCAGUGAAGGAGCAUCUGAUCACCCUACGAUGGCUUUUGUCCUUACUCACUGAAACAUCAUUGUAAAAUAGAUGUCACUUAGGGUGCAUUAGAUUAUUUUGCUAAAUUUGAUUGGUUUUUGAAAAUGGGUUAAUGCAUAGAUUACUAAUAUAAAUAAAUUGUAUAGUUUCAGGAAAUUAAAAUCAUGACUUCUACGACACUUAACUUACUUUCUGCCGAUAAACUUACCAAUGAAAAUUAUACAAUGUGAAAAUAUACAAUCAACACAAUACUGAUCAUCGAUGACCUGCGUUUUGUCCUUAUGGAGGAAUUUUCUCCUAUUCCUGCUCAAACUGCCACUCGAAAUGUUUGAGAGGCAUACGAGCAUUAGAUAAAGGCAAAUGAAAAGAUCCGAAUGUAUAUCUUGGUUAACCUUUUUGAAGUCUUGGCCAAGAAGCAUGAGCUCAUGAUUACUGCCUGUGAGAUCAUUGAGUACCUACGGGGGGAUGUUCAAACAACCAUCCACACAACUCAGGUAUGACGCUCUAAAACACAUUUUCAAUGCUCGUAUGCAGGAAGGGGCAUAUGUUCGAGAACACGUUCUCAACAUGAUUAUCCACUUCAACAUAGCGGAAAUGAACGGGUUUGUCAGAUGAAGCCAGUCAAGUUAGCUUCAUUUUGGAAUCUUUAUCUGAAAGUUUCCUAAAGUUCCAUAGUAAUGCUGUUAUGAACAAUUUUGACUACAACCUGACCACCUUGCUCAAUGAGCUUCAAACUUUUCAAUCCUUGAUGAAAAGCAAGGAACAAAAGGGAGAGGUAAAUGUUAUCUCAUCCUCCAAGAAGUUUUACAGAGGUUCGACCUCUGGAGCUAAGUCCGUGCCUUUUUCUUCUGGCACCAAAAAGUAGAAGAACAAGAAAUGUGGAAAGGGGAAAGCUAACCCAUUAGUUGCUGCCUAGAAGGGCAAGAAGACCAAGGCUGCAAAGGGAAUCUGUUUCCAUUACAACCACGAGGGAAAUUGGAAGAAGAAUUGUCCCAAAUACUUGGUAGAAAAAAAGAAGACCAGAAAAGGGAAUUAGUUCUUGGCGGCAACUAGAAGCUAGGGAGAUGACAAUCUGUGUUGGAACUGAACACGUCGUCUCAACUAUGGUAGUAGGAGGGCUUCGACUCUACUUACAGAAAUCUUAUAUCUCAUUAGAUAAUGUACAUGUGGUUUUAGGCUUGAAAAGAAACCUGAUUUCUGUAAAAUAUCUUAUUGAACAACAUUAUUCUCUUAAUUUUCAAGUAAAUAAAGUGUUUGUUUCCAAGAAUGGAAUAUUAAUUUUU